AAUCAACGCUGGCGGCGUGCCUCAGACAUGCAAGUCGAACGAUUAAGACUCUCUUCGGAGAGUGUAUAAAGUGGCGCACGGGUGAGUAACACGUAGGUAAUGUACCGAAGGGUGGGGAAUAACUUAGGGAAACUUAAGCUAAUACCGCAUAAUGCAGCGGCUCGACAUCGAGACAGUUGUUAAAGGAGCAAUCCGCCUUUUGAGCAGCCUGCGGCAGAUUAGCUAGUUGGUAAGGUAAUGGCUUACCAAGGCUACGAUCUGUAACCGACCUGAGAGGGUGGUCGGUCACACUGACACUGAAUAACGGGUCAGACUCCUACGGGAGGCAGCAGUCGGGAAUUUUGGGCAAUGGCGAAAGCCUGACCCAGCAACGCCGCGUGAAGGAUGAAGUAUUCGGUAUGUAAACUUCGUAAGAAUAGGAAGAAUAAAUGACGGUACUAUUUGUAAGGUCCGGCUAACUACGUGCCAGCAGCCGCGGUAAU
rnacentral:rRNA from 1 species